GCCGGGCUGGCUCGGUCGGUAGAGCACGCGACUCUUGAUCUUGGGGUUGUGUGUUCAAGCCCCAUGUUGGGCA
rnacentral:tRNA from 1 species